rnacentral:rRNA from 1 species
AACGAACGCUGGCGGCAUGCCUAACACAUGCAAGUCGAACGAGACCUUCGGGUCUAGUGGCGCACGGGUGCGUAACGCGUGGGAACCUGCCCUUAGGUUCGGAAUAACUCCCCGAAAGGGGUGCUAAUACCGGAUAAUGUCUUCGGACCAAAGAUUUAUCGCCUUUGGAUGGGCCCGCGUUGGAUUCGCUAGUUGGUAGGGUAAAAGCCUACCAAGGCGACGAUCCAUAGCUGGUCUGAGAGGAUGAUCAGCCACGCUGGGACUGAGACACGGCCCAGACUCCUACGGGAGGCAGCAGUGGGGAAUAUUGGACAAUGGGCGAUAGCCUGAUCCAGCAAUGCCGCGUGAGUGAUGAAGGGCUUAGGGUUGUAAAGCUCUUUUACCCGGGAUGAUAAUGACAGUACCGGGAGAAUAAGCUCCGGCUAACUCCGUG